GCAAAUCGAAAAAUAAAUGUAACUUUGUGUUUUCUAAAUCCAUAACAAGUUCGUCUCCCUUUUUCUUAUCCUACGCUACAGCAGAGGUUCGAAGAAAACCAAAUUGAAAUUCUUUGUUGCUCACAAUUCAAGAAAUUUUUUGAAAUUAAAUUAGGGUUUUGGUAAAAAUGUCGACGGGCAGGCCCAAGGAUAGUGACUUACAGGUAGUGGUAACGCCGGACAAGCAUGUUUCGGGACUCCCGCCGCGUCCACCUGCGGCGGGAACGGCGUCAACUGCGCUUGUGGAGUACUCGGCGCCGGUGUUUAAGGAAGAGGAGGAGGACCUGGAGGUGAAGCUCCGGCGGAUCAUCGAAAAUGUACCUGUUCGAGUCAGUAACACAUCUGGCAGUUCUGCAGGUUCCGGCUCCGGUGACUUUCACCAGUAUCGGCAAAUGAGACGGAAAGAGCAAGACCGGCUAGCAAGGAUGGAUGCUGACUACCAGAAAAGAAAAGAACUGGCAGAAUUCAGUAUGAGAAGGGAGGAAAGGUUAAAAGCUGCUGAGGAACGGACAGCAAAGAAGCGUUUAAAGCGCCAAAAGAAAAAGCAGAAGAAAAAAGAGAAGAAGGUGAAAUUGAAUGCUGGUGGAGAAGAACAUCAGAAAGAAGAAUCUUCAGAUGAUGAUGGAGACUCUGACACUGGUGAACCUGCUGCCAAGUGACCAAGGUUUUCUGUAAGUCUUAAUCGAACCUUUGCUUCAAGGUGCAAUUUCUGCCAUUCUUCUAGGCAUUUACAGGAAACUAUGGGGAAUUAACUCAAUUAGACUUCAAGCAUUUGUACUCUAGUUUCGGAUGACAGAAAGGAACCCAGUUGAAAGUGGGAAAGAAACAGUACAAUUUUAUUUGAAAAAAAAAAAAAUGCUGUCUUUCACAGAAUGAAAUUCUUGUCUUGUGAAGACUAUCGGCUUCGAUCACACUCCCAUAAUAGUUGAUGAUUCAGGAUGGAUCUUGGAAGAUGUGAUGUUAAAACAUCAUGAUGCUAUAAAACAUACCCAUUUCUUCUCUCUUCCUCAUUUGGUCAAGGAAGGUGGUAAUUGAUAUUUCGCAUUUGAGUACAACAUCUCCUUUUCCGUUAGAGGAGUAUAUGUUACUUUACAGUUUCUAUCAUUAGCCAAGCCAAGGGUUGCAACUUCCAAUAAGGUAAAUCCCUCCGUUGAAAUUGAUUGCAGAUCAGAUCAAGCUCAUUCAUAAAUUUCUCUCUAUCUCCAUCUCGUUAAGAAAGUAAAAAGCCUAUUUCCUCCUUGUCCUAGUCAUCUGCCCAUCUACCCAUGCAAUGCACGGAGCUUGUAAUUUUAUAGUUUUUGAAAUUGAUUUGAAUGAGUAAUUUUUAAGAUAGUUAUUAUGAUAUAUAUUUGUGUUACUUUUAUUUAUAAA